rnacentral:rRNA from 1 species
GAUGAACGCUGGCGGCGUGCCUAAUACAUGCAAGUCGAGCGAACGGACGAGAAGCUUGCUUCUCUGAUGUUAGCGGCGGACGGGUGUGUAACACGUGGAUAACCUACCUAUAAGACUGGGAUAACUUCGGAAAACCGGAGCUAAUACCGGAUAAUAUUUUGAACCGCAUGGUUCAAAAGUAAAAGACGGUCUUGCUGUCACUUAUAGAUGGAUCCGCGCUGCAUUAGCUAGUUGGUAAGGUAACGGCUUACCAAGGGAACGAUGCAUAGCCGACCUGAGAGGGUGAUCGGCCACACUGGAACUGAGACACGGACCAGACUCCUACGGGAGGCAGCAGUAGGGAAUCUUCCGCAAUGGGCGAAAGCCUGACGGAGCAACGCCGCGUGAGUGAUGAAGGUCUUCGGAUCGUAAAGCUCUGUUAUGAGGGAAGAACAUAUGUGUAAGUAACUGUGCAGAGCUUGACGGUACCGAAUCAGAAAGCCACGGCUAACUACGUG